rnacentral:rRNA from 1 species
GUGGGGAAUAUUGGACAAUGGGCGAAAGCCUGAUCCAGCCAUGCCGCGUGUGUGAAGAAGGUCUUCGGAUUGUAAAGCACUUUAAGUUGGGAGGAAGGGCAGUAAGCUAAUACCUUGCUGUUUUGACGUUACCGACAGAAUAAGCACCGGCUAACUUCGUGCCAGCAGCCGCGGUAAUACGAAGGGUGCAAGCGUUAAUCGGAAUUACUGGGCGUAAAGCGCGCGUAGGUGGUUCAGCAAGUUGGAGGUGAAAUCCCCGGGCUCAACCUGGGAACUGCCUCCAAAACUACUGAGCUAGAGUACGGUAGAGGGUAGUGGAAUUUCCUGUGUAGCGGUGAAAUGCGUAGAUAUAGGAAGGAACACCAGUGGCGAAGGCGACUACCUGGACUGAUACUGACACUGAGGUGCGAAAGCGUGGGGAACAAACAGGAUUAGAAACCCCGGUAGUCC